AUGUAAAGAAGACUCACUAAAGUACAUUGUGGGCCAGGAGCUGGCUCCAGGAAGAGAUGUUCAAAGAUAAAGCUGAGUUUCUUCAGUACGUAUUGUGUUCUCUGGCAUUGGCAGCAUCUAAUCUUGACGUGGAAGACACUUGGGGUGCUGCCAUGUUACUGUUUCUUAUAAGCAAUGGGAAAGCUAUUGAAGUUCUUGGCAGGUGUGUGCCCUAACAGAGCAGUACUUUGGUGUGGUUAUUCUGGUGGCAGUUUUACAGCUGUUGCAGAGUAAGAAGUGUCAACUUCAUUGGACAUGAAGGAGAAAUCUCAAACAGAGCGGGAAGCAAUUAUGUAUUCAAGGUCAGGCAGAGCAAGAAACAUGCAUCAGAGCCCCCACCUGAGGCAGGGACCAACAUGUAAAUAAUGAACUGCAGGCCUGAAGAUGUAAUGAGUGCUGAAACAGAGAAGCAAACGAGGCACUACUGGUACUCAGAGGAGGAGCUCCAAC
rnacentral:lncRNA from 10 species